rnacentral:lncRNA from 1 species
GGGACCCUAGGGGGCUGUGGACCCCCGGCCCCUGGGACUCACAGGUGGGAGACAGGAGUUCCAACCGCCAGGGGGAGAGUCCUGGAGGAUCCUGGGCUGUUGGCAGCCACCCAGCAGGGCCCGUCCUGGGAGUGGGGCUGGACUCUUCCUGCAGGAAAGGCUGGGCUGGACCUGCUCUGAGAGGCUUCAGAACCAGCCACACGAAGACCAAAGUGAAGAGCAAGGAGCUGAACUCCACGCAGAACACAGCGCAGCGUCCUUUAAAGGAAGGCCAAAAACAACCCAACAAAAAUGCCAGGUGAUCAAAGCGGUCACAGCACAAUGUCCACAUCCAACGAGAAAUUGCUACUACGUCCAGACGCAGGGAAAGGUGGCCGUGGGAACGUGAGUCAGCAGCAACAGGCCCAGAAGGGCAGCCACGGUGGACUUGUCAGACGUGGACCCUGAAAUGACAAUCACAGCAUGAUUUCAGGCAGGAGCCUGAAAUGGUACAGCUUUGGACAUCGGUUUGGCAAAUUCUUUUAGAGAGAAACACACACCUUCCCUAGGACCCAGCAACUCCACUCCUAAUAACCAAGUGAAAUGGAAGGAGUUGUCCUCAGCAAAACGUGUGUGCGGAAGUUCACAGUCACUUUCUCGGUGAUAACCAAGAGCUGGAAACCACUGCAACACCCACCAGCAGGUGAACGGAUUAACACACUGGGCUAGGGCCACACAAUGAGAUGCUCCGUGGCAACACAAAAUGAACCGUGGACACACACUGCACGGCGGAUGAAUAUGCAGACAUCAGGCCACGUGAAGGGAGCCAGGCCCCGAGGCGCCACGCUUUGUGAUUCAGGGUGGUCCCUCUGCGCCCAAGACCCGGCUGCCUCCUCCUCUUCCUGGCUGCAGGGAGUGCUUGUGUCUGAAGAACGCCAGGAAAGAAAGCACGCAGCCAAAGAGCGCAAAGAGGCUCAGAGGAGGCCCGGGUGCCCUGGAGAGACGCUGCGUCCUGACGACACAGCAUCCCUGUCCCGCAGCGGAGAUUUCCCAGAUGAAGGAUUCCCCGGCGGGAGACAGGGCCCUGCACACAGGUCCUCUGCCACGCUGCUCACCAUGCCUGUGUGUUAUCUCCCCAUGAAAAGUCACCUAGGCCGAGCAUGGUGGCUCACGCCUGUAAUCCCAGCACUUUGGGAGGUGGAGGCGUGCGGAUCAUCUGAGAUCAGGAGUUUGAGACCAUCCUGAGUAACAUGGUGAAACCCCGUCUCUAGGAAGAAUACAAAAAUUAAC